rnacentral:tRNA from 1 species
GGGCACAGCUGAGUGGUAUAGCAUCUGCUUAGUGUACACAAUAUCCUGGGUUCAAUCCCCAGCACUGCCCA